GCUAGGCCUCAUUGCAUUGCACCACUGUUGCAUAACUAUGAGCAUGGGGCCAAAAGUUAGCUGCUUAUAGUGAAGUGUUUGGGGAAACUCCGGUUGGCAACCAGCAUUUUCAAGUUUGGUAUGUAAGUGUUUGUACUUCAGGAAUUACAUGUGAUGGCCAUAUAUAUGAUAUUCAAUUUUUAAAUGAUGGAGGUUUGGAGCCCCAAGGAAUAAGGGCCGUACCCAGCACCUUAGGCCCCAGUGCGAAACAUAAAACGAAAUCUUAUAUUUAGAAAUAUCAAUAAAAGGAUACUAAAUUAUUCAGAAAAAAAUAUUACGUAAAUGGUGGCGGUAACCUCCUUAAGUAAGAAAAAUAAGUGAGUCUUAAUGUAAUUAUUUGAUUUUCUUUAUCAAGCAGAAAAAUGGAAUGUUUAGUACCUAGAACGCACGUUCAUGUCACCGCUAUAAACUAUAUUUCUUUAAGGUUGCCAUGAUUAUUAUUGAACAUCUAUUUGAUCCAAAGAAAAUAAAUAUGUUAUAGCCAAAUCAAUACAUCAAGAUGAGCGGAACUUUUGAAAAAAUAAAAUGAAUAGGAUAAAACCAUAUUGGAAAUUAGUGUCUUGUAUUGAAAUAUGAGAAUUUUGGGGGGCCCUAUGCGGUAGGCCAGUUGGCACAUGGCCAUCGACGACACUGCCAGGAAUUCCCUUCAAGCAAUUCAUGAAACAAUAUUUUGAGAGUUGUUGUGAAGCGUUUGGGGGAAAUCUCAGUGUCGCCAGCAUGUAAGUAAACAGUGCUCAAACUAUACAAGGAUAAACGUUUGUUAUCACCAUGAAUUCUCUUUAAGCACUUCAUACGACACAAUUAUUUCAAGGGUUGUUGUGAAGUAUUUGGCGGAACUCUCUGUGUCAUCAUACAUUUGUAACCGGUGUUUGAACCAUAUGAUUGAGAUGAGAGACACGUUUGGUAUUGUUGUGAGUUCCCUUCAAGCACUUGACGUCAUGUGGCACUAAUUCAAUGCUUACUGUGUUUGAGGGAACUCUCGGUAUCACCAAACAAUUAAUAUAUGGUGUUUAAACCACAAGAUCGAGAUGACAGCCAUGUUUGCUAUUAUCUUGAGUUCUCUUUAAUCAUUUCACAUGGCACUAUUUUAAGGCCUACUGUGUGAAGUGUUUGGGGGAUUCUCGGUAUCACCAAUAAGUUAUGUUUCAAGCUAUAAGAGAUGGGACCACUGUUGCAAAGCCUAUUAGGAAGUGUUGGGGAAUGAACUCUCGAUGCCUACUAUAGUAAAAACCACACUUGGUAUUAUCAUGAGUUCUGACAGUAAUUGAAGUGAUGUUGUGAAGUGCUGGGCUGUCACCAAGCAUGUACUAGAUGAUGUUGAUGAAUAAUGCAGGUCAAAUGAGCAUGAGAAGGAUCAAUGGAAGAAGUUCAGUACCAUCGUGAGCUUUCUUCAAGCACUUAAUAUGAGACUAUGAGACUAUUAAAACUACUCUUACACAUGAGUGUUACUGAUUAAAGGAAAUAUUACUAUGUUUGAUGGUUGCUUGUGUAUACUUACUGGGGCUAGCUCUACAUGGGGUUUUGUUUGUUUUGAAAUUCAAUGAGAUACUGAUUACUAUCAAUGCUCUCUUGUUGUCGUUGCAAAUGCUACAUGUUAGUCAAAGUCAUAAAACAAGCUAAGUAGAGUAAACUCACAUAUAUGUUUAUUAGUAUGUAAAAUGUGCCGCUACAUUAUCUGUUUUUAUUAUAGCACUAAAAACAUUAAUUUAUUCUUCUAGUUUGGCCAUUUAUAUGUGCUAAAGUAUGUAAAUUGAUCACUCUGUCCAAAUAACGUGUAUUUUGUCUUACCGAAUGCAGUUAUAUAUGAUUAGUAAUAAAUGUUUUAUUGAUGUUGCUGCUGCUGCUCCUACUGUUAUCGUUGUUUCUGCUUGUAUAUUUUGGUAUAGAAGUUACGUAUAGUUAGUGACCAUAAAAUUAAUUGCCCGUAAGAAAUUUAACUAUGGCCUAUGAUAUUCUACUGUCAUUUUGAUUGUUUAGUCCCGGUGUUCUAUAAGAGUUAGAGGCAACGGGAAACUAUUCAUGUGCUCAUCUGCGCUGAAGGUCAGUAUGAUGAUACCUUUCCGGGUAUCCAAAGUUUUAGGAUUGCGACAACGUCAACACUUGCAUGGUAGAGGUUAAAGUAAAUCGAGUGAGUCAACAUAUAUUGUGAAUUGUUUCUUUCCGGGUUGUGUCUACGAAGGCGGUGCAACGCCUGCGAGUAGGAACGAUGAUAUGGGGAUGACAGCAACCCCAGCCUAAUGGGAGAUGGCGACAUGGGAUUUAUCGUUGAUGAGAAAUUUGGCAGUUUGGUAGAUUUGCAACUAAGAAGAAAUAGAACUAGUCAAAUACUUCACAAGUAUUAAUUGUGGGAGUACUCCAACAACUAACUGAGAGCACAAAUCGAGGAAAUAUGCAAUAAUGAAGCGAUCCCAAGCCUUCAGAAUUGGCAAAAUAUCCUUGCAUCAUCAUAUAAUUGUAGAGACUUAAUGGUAUUUUUGCUACAACCAUUGUAUUUUCAAUGCUGAUUUGGCAAUAUUUAGAAAGUAGUUUGAAGUAAAAAAACAAAUGUCCUCAAUUAUGCACGAAACAUCACUUUAAUUUCUUGUUAGUAAGAAAAAAAAUGUUCCAACAGGCGUAUGUAUUGCUGAUCCACAUCGUGUAAAAGUAUUGAACAUAUUUGUA